ACUCCUACGGGAGGCAGCAGUGGGGAAUAUUGCACAAUGGGCGCAAGCCUGAUGCAGCCAUGCCGCGUGUGUGAAGAAGGCCUUCGGGUUGUAAAGCACUUUCAGUCGUGAGGAAGGUAGUGUAGUUAAUAGCUGCAUUAUUUGACGUUAGCGACAGAAGAAGCACCGGCUAACUCCGUGCCAGCAGCCGCGGUAAUACGGAGGGUGCGAGCGUUAAUCGGAAUUACUGGGCGUAAAGCGCAUGCAGGUGGUUUGUUAAGUCAGAUGUGAAAGCCCGGGGCUCAACCUCGGAAUAGCAUUUGAAACUGGCAGACUAGAGUACUGUAGAGGGGGGUAGAAUUUCAGGUGUAGCGGUGAAAUGCGUAGAGAUCUGAAGGAAUACCAGUGGCGAAGGCGGCCCCCUGGACAAAGACUGACGCUCAGAUGCGAAAGCGUGGGGAGCAAACAGGAUUAGAUACCCUGGUAGGAUAGCG
rnacentral:rRNA from 1 species